CAUCACCCAUACCUGGAAGCCCCUUCAUUAUCCUGUUUAUCUUCUUCCUCUCUCCACUCACAGUAGGCUGAGAUCAGCCUCUUAAACAAGAUCAACUGGGCCUCCACACUUCUAUGUGCCUUGAGAUAAACAACAGAAAUGGCAGCUGAGGAAGCAAGGAAAAGACAUCAUACGUUCUCUCUCGAGCCUGGCUGUGUGGACAGACUCUCCGGUGGACAGUGUAGCACGCGAGAGCAGCUCUCUGGGGCUCCUGACCCAAUGGGCUGAGCAGGAGCCUGGGUGCUGCGCAUGGGUGAGGAAGAGACACUGGAUGGCUCAGCGUGAUCACGGCCUAGAGAAAGAGUGGAGGAGGAUCAUGAGCUGGAAAGAGCUGGAAGAUGAGAGAAGGUCUAGGGCCCCAAAGUGACAGGCCAGCACCUAAGAACAGACCCAGAGAGAGAACCAUCCCCAUUGACUCAGAUGGCUGGGAAAAUUGAAGAACAGGCGUAUCUUAUAAAGCCCAUCUGGAAGCCUCCUUACACACCCCUCUGCCACCUGGUGGCAUCUCCUUUUCUCUUGGAUUCCUGGGGUGUCCGCUGAUGUUGCUGUCAGAAAGCAUUGAACUCUUCCCUCCCGCGAUGCAGCAUGUCCGGCUGCCUCGGAUAUUCCCAGACCGGUCCAGCUGCCCAGCUCUUUACCCUCUGAUUCUUCCCUGCUCCUUCUUCCAAGUCGGAGAGGGACACUGGCUUGUUAUCUUUGGACCCCCAGUACAAGGAAAGAAAGAGACAAAAGUCAUAAAACCACAAAUAGGAAGACCAAGCUGGAGCUCGCUCAUCUAA
rnacentral:lncRNA from 1 species